AAGGACUGUGCUCCCAAUCCGCUUAUGCUCAAGGAAGAACUGGAAGGCCCAGAACCAGCCUGAUGUCAGGAUCAGAACAAAAGAGGAGGACUGCAUAUGUAUGGACCCACUCCAGAUGGCACGGGGACGGGGGGGAGUAGGAAAAGUGGCAUGCUCGCUGGACAGUCCCGUCAGACACAGACAUGAAACUCCUGCGAGAAGACCAAGCCCUGGAUAAUAUCACCGCUCAUCCUGUGGCACUUCAUUACAUUCUGGCUGGGGAUAUUUGAAUAUUAGAUAUUAAGCAAUUCCUAUCAAUUUUGUUAGGUGUGUAAUGACAGUAUCAUAGUUAUAUAGAAGAGUGUCCUUUGGUUUUAGAGAUGCAUUCUGAAAUGAUUUGGGGUAAAAGGUCAGGAGGUUUAUAAUUUACUUUAAAAUACUUCAGCCCAAAAGCAAAUGAAGCAUAUAUUAAUUGUUAGAUGUUAACAAUUGUC
rnacentral:antisense_RNA from 1 species